rnacentral:rRNA from 1 species
GACGAACGCUGGCGGCGUGCUUAACACAUGCAAGUCGAACGGUGAAGGGGUCUGCUUUUGUGGGCCCUGGAUGGGUGGCGAACGGGUGAGUAACACGUGAGUAACCUGCCCCCUUCUUCUGGAUACCCGCAUGAAAGUGUGGCUAAUACGGGAUAUUCUGGGUCUGUCGCAUGAUGGGUCUGGGAAAGAUUGCGCCUUUGGGUGUUUUUGGUGGGGGAUGGGCUCGCGGCCUAUCAGCUUGUUGGUGGGGUGAUGGCCUACCAAGGCGGUGACGGGUAGCCGGCCUGAGAGGGUGGACGGUCACACUGGGACUGAGACACGGGCCAGACUCCUACGGGAGGCAGCAGUGGGGAAUACUGCACAAUGGGCGCAAGCCUGAUGCAGCGACGCCGCGUGAGGGAUGGAGGCCUGCGGGUUGUAAACCUCUUUCGCCAGUGAAGCAGGCCUGCUCCUUGUGGGUGGGUUGACGGUAGCUGGAUAAGAAGCGCCGGCUAACUACGUG